ACAAAAACGCCAUGCCCAACUUAAGACAAGGGCCAUAUAACCAAUUCCUUUAUCCAAGGACUUACGGAACGUUCUACCUGGAAGUCAGAGGCCUCACAGACAUGAGGCCCUCUGAAGGGAAAUGAAAUCGCAGCAAAAGGGCCAUCAGCAGUCUAACUAAACUUGUUGGACUUUAGUGAGGGAUAUGUCAUUAGAUUGUAGAACUAGGAGGGCAUUGUAGCUCAGUGGUCAGACACUUGGCUGGCGUGUGUAGGGUUUGAUCUCCAGCAAAGUACAAGUUGCCAAAAGUCAGUGCCAGGCUAGGGAGAGUUCAGUCUGCCACUCUGCACAGCGUCUUCCUUCUGCUUGGGAUCUGUUUCUAUGAAGCACUGAGCUCAACGAAGCUCAGAAAUGUCCAGGCGCAGGAGUGUGACGGGUGGCACAGGGCUCCUCACAGCACAACUACCUCCAUGCUCCUUGGGCAGUUUGUAAUGCUCAGCCAUCUCAAGAGCUGUCCAGAUGAAGACCCAAGCACAGCAGUUGGCGCAGAGGGCAUGUGCUGUGGCCAUCUUCCUGCCCUGAGCUGUGCCCUGUGUCUAGGGAAAGGGAGUUGGACACUGGACCAGGAUGCAGGUGCAGUCAUUCUCCUCCUAGGCAGUGAUCAGACAGACAGACAGACAGGUUUUACAGUCAGCCUUGUCGAUAUGCCGCUGAAAUGUUCCCACAGGACAAGUGUUAAGUAAAAGAGAUGUCAUUGUCAAAUACAGUAGGGACUCUUGAGCCACUAGAAGCUUGUUUCUUAGUGCAUGGACUUGCUUGGGAUGUAAAAUAAAGACUUUCAGAAAGGGGCAGCCAGUUAGUGGAUUCACCUAGCACCUUGAGACUCAUCCAGAUGUUGUGGGUCUUCUCAUCCACCAAGUGACAACAGAAGAUGAGGGUCAUUCUCAAUUACCGAAGAACAUCUAAUAUGCCUCCACACCUGUGGCCUUGUAUCACUUGAGGGUGACUCACCCAUGAACUGACUUUCCUCACUGGUUUAGAGGAGCUAAAUAGCCAUUUUUAUCUUCAAGAGCCAACUGAGACGCCUGUACAAAGAAGCCUUUGUUACUGCCAAGGAAAACCUAGUGUGUCACUAGGCAAGUCAGAUGGAUACUUGUACGUUUCCUAGGGAAGAGCUGGUGGGGGCGCACCUCAUUCCUCAGAAGAGCAUCCCCCAAACCAGCUGUGUACCAGGCUGUAACAUGCAGGUACUCAACCUGCAGUGUCUGUCCAGAGGAGACGCCCUGAUGUGAACCGGUCUGCCUUUCCCACAAGGAAAGCCAUGUAAACCGGUACGGGACCACGGCUGAAGAAAACAAAAUGGUUGGUGUCACACAGAGGAAAGAGGGAACACACAGCUGCUAAAAGGGUGAACAGAAAAUCAUUUAUCUAAAUAGAAGAAUAGAAAUAAACAAAACCUUUU
rnacentral:lncRNA from 1 species